UACGGGGGGGGCAAGCGUUGUUCGGAAUUACUGGGCGUAAAGGGCUCGUAGGCGGCCAACUAAGUCAUACGUGAAAUCCCUCGGCUUAACCGGGGAACUGCGUGUGAUACUGGAUGGCUUGGAUUUGGGAGAGGGAUGCGGAAUUCCAGGUGUAGCGGUGAAAUGCGUAGAUAUCUGGAGGAACACCGGUGGCGAAGGUGGCAUCCUGGACCAAUAUUGACGCUGAGGAGCGAAAGCCAGGGGAGCAAACGGG
rnacentral:rRNA from 1 species